AUGGAGAUUUUCUCGCCGCCGGUGGUUUCGAUAAGGUAUAAACCGCUUUCUAUCAUUUUUAUUGUUACCCUAGGCUUUUUUUAUCGUUACUUGUUUGUUAUUUAUUCUGUUAUGUUCUUUUGUUAUAGAUCUGGUUCUUUUUCCGUAAGAUCUACUGUGCAGAGGUGCAAUAUUCACGUUUUCCCGGUGUUUGCUAUCAAUUCAUGGAAAGAUCCUAAAUCAAGGAUCUCGAGAUAG